AAUAACUGCAGCUGAGAGAGCUACAUGCAAUGUGGGUUGCUGAGGGAGAUUUGCACGAGCGGCAGAUGCGGGGGUCGAUGGCGACUGGCGGGGGCGACGUCGGCGACCGACGAGAGCUCCUAGAGAGGGAGGGGCAGAGAGAGAGAGAGAGAUAGAGAGAGAAAGAGAGAGUGAGGGCGAAAGUGCGAGAGGGAGGGAGAGGUGUCAGGGUCGGGGUGGGCGCUAGGUAUACCUAAUGAAGACGGUGAAUGGU
rnacentral:lncRNA from 1 species